rnacentral:lncRNA from 1 species
GUAAUACAGUUUACGCUGUUUGUGGCUAAAUCUAUUAUUUAUUAUUAGAAAAUUCACUGUUGUACCUUUUGAGAGAAAAUUUUGAGUUUUUGUAAUCUACACAGUGCAUUUGUAUUUCUGAUAAUAUAAUAAAUCAGGAAACUAGGUGAGGUCAUAUGAAUCAUGUGUGUGCUUAUAGGUGAAAGUCUAAUAAUUCUGAUGUAAUUUCUCAAAUUACAACAAUCAUGAUCAGUAAUUAUGUUUAUAAUUUUGAACAAAAUAAUUGUGAUUAUCAGUAUAACCAUUAUGCAACAUGAAUAAAUGUGAAAGUUUAACUGGAUAAAACUAGAUCAAAAUGCCCAUACACUAAAAAACGCUGGGUUGUUUUUUCAACCCAAAUGCUGGGCUGAGAACGCUGGGUAGGACGUUGGGUUGUUUUAACCCAAGUGUGGGUUGAAAAGGUGUUAAUAGACGGUUAUGGUUACGGUUACACUCAUGUUAAUUUAUCUUAUUUUUCGCGGUUAAACUGAAUGUACGUUAGUUUCCUAAAGGAAACCGCGUUAUGUAAUAAAGACUAGCAUGAUUAUUUUGAGGCUGUUGACGUGGUAAUUGUUAAAAGUAUGUUUUACAUGUAAUAUUUCAGACUUGUUGAGCUCGUGUCUUCAUUGUCCCCGCGCCGAUACCUAAAGACACAAAGGUCUGCUCUUGUGUGAGGAGUCACGGACUGUGUGAGGAGGAGGCACUGUUCUCCGCUUCUUCUGAGGAGAGGGAGAGACGGGUUUAAGGCGAGUAAACUUCAGAAUUAUAUCAAGUUAUCUUUUUUUUUUUACUAAGACUAAAAUAAUGUUUGUUUUUGUAGAUGUUGAAAUCCAGAGACAAUAUAACUUAAUUCUUUUGAGACUGAUGUGAGUUAUUUUUUAGAAAAUUAAUUUUUCUGUUGUGUCCUGCCUGUUUACUUCACAUUUUGAUGCAACAACAGUAUGAUUACAUGUUCAUAUUUUAUUUAAAACAUUGAGGUCCCUUUUUUCUUUGUCGAACUCAAACUAACUUUGGAGUUAAGGACACAGAAGCCUGCUUGUGUGAGGAGGAGGCGAUUUUCUCAGCUUCUUUGGAAGAGAGUGAAAGACAGUUGCAGAACUCAAACCAACUUUGGAGUUCUCUGAUUUGGAGAGUCAUCAUUCUUGGUCUUCCUUUAUUAAAGGAAUAGUUCACACAAAAAAUAAUUUACUUUCCCCUUAUGUCAUUCCAAACCUAUAAGACUUUUAUCUGUCUUUACAACACAAAUGAUUGAAUGAAUGAAUUUUCUCAUAAUUUUUUGUUAAUCUAUUGAGAGUCUAGAUAAUCGGUAUUUUCAAUCCUCAUAAAUAUAGAGUUAUUGUAGAAGUAAUCCAUUCCAAUAUUUAUAUAUGAAUAAAUCUUAAAUUAUAUGAUAGCGAACAUGUCUGUUCAAAAGAAAAUAUUGGUCUCCCAGACUAGCAAUGGAGGACAAAAAUUAAGAGAAUAUUAAAUAUAUUUAUUUGUGUUCCAAAAAUCAGCAGAGUUUGUAUGCGUCUGGAACAACAAGAGGGAAAGUAAAUUAUGACCAUUUUCAUUUUUUGGUGAACUAACCCUUUGAAGAGCAGCCCUCCAUGUACAUGAAAAUUUGUGAGUUAUGUGAAUGUCAUGUCUGUUUUAAUGUUUCAGUAAAGAAUUAGCUUUCUAAAAGCAAUAUAUUUAUUCAAACAAUAUGACAUGCCCUCACACUACUGCUGCCAUUAUAGCAUUCUAGAGCGCUGUGGUAGACAGAGACAUUAAACAACCACACAAAGUGUUGAAAUUACAAAACGGACUGUUUACCUAUCCUUACUGAUGUGGAAACACCUCUAUCUGAAAAUGGAUAGAGUUUAAUUAAAUGUUUUAUUUUUUCAAAUGUGUUUCUCUUUUUAGGCCACUGAUGAAGAACAGGCGGUGACUGGGAUGAAUGCUGGACAAAGAAGAGAAUGUCCUUUCCCCUAAACUGAUGCAACAGUGGUUUUAAAGGAGGACACUGCCCUGGAUGAUGUAGAAGAUGUCACAUGCUUUUGCUGUGCUGAUGGGGCUUCUUGAUGACUACAUCAAUUAUGCUAAAGAGAUUAUGAAAAUUGACAGUGAUGCAUGAUCUGUAUUCAUGGACUAUGAAACAAACUGUAAGUGUAUAAU